rnacentral:sRNA from 1 species
UCAUACUUGUACGAUGAAACCCACGGGUUGGC